AUUGAACGCUGGCGGCAGGCUUAACACAUGCAAGUCGAGCGGGGUGAUGGUGCUUGCACUAUCACUUAGCGGCGGACGGGUGAGUAAUGCUUAGGAAUCUGUCUAUUAGUGGGGGACAACAUCUCGAAAGGGAUGCUAAUACCGCGUACGUCCUACGGGAGAAAGCAGGGGAUCACUUGUGACCUUGCGCUAAUAGAUGAGCCUAAGUCGGAUUAGCUAGUUGGGGGGGUAAAGGCCUACCAAGGCGACGAUCUGUAGCGGGUCUGAGAGGAUGAUCGGCCACACUGGGACUGAGACACGGCCCAGACUCCUACGGGAGGCAGCAGUGGGGAAUAUUGGACAAUGGGGGGAACCCUGAUCCAGCCAUGCCGCGUGUGUGAAGAAGGCCUUAUGGUUGUAAAGCACUUUAAGCGAGGAGGAGGCUCUUUUGGUUAAUACCCAAGAUGAGUGGACGUUACUCGCAGAAUAAGCACCGGCUAACUCUGUGCCAGCAGCCGCCCGUAA
rnacentral:rRNA from 1 species